CAAAUACCCGCUGAAAAGGAGUAGGAAAAUCGCCCAGGAAUUAAAGAGAAAUAGAAUACGACCGGAAAGGUGGAAAAGGGAGUUCGGAGAAGCUCAGUCGAGAAAAUCAAACGUAUACGCCUGGCCAGGGAGAGUCCUCGUGUACUUGUGGCAGGAACAAAUUCCGCCUCGACCGUCUGGAGUUCAUCAUCUGGCACACCGAGUAGCUGAUCGAGGGU